rnacentral:SRP_RNA from 1 species
GCUGGGUGUGGUGGCGCAUGCCUGUACUCCCAGCUACUCUGGAGGCUGAGGUGGGAGGAUCACUUGAGCCUAGGAGGUCAAAGCUGCAGUGAACCAAGAUCAUGCCACUGUACUCCAGCCUAGGCAACAGAGUGAGACCCUGCCUCAU